rnacentral:rRNA from 1 species
UGCAUUAAAAUUUAUAACAUAGGGUAAAGCACUUGAUAACUAAAGAAAGGGGUCAUUAAAAACUUCGCUGAUGUUUCUUAAACUUUGAAUAUAUGUUAUAUAAUAAUUUUAAUAGGCAGAUUAUGAGUGCUAAGAUUCAUAAUCAAAAGGGAAAAAGCCCAGAUUUUAAAUUAAGGUUUUUAAAUUAUAAUUUAUGGUUGAAGCUUAAAAUAUAUAAAGACAGCCAAGAGGUAGGCUUAGAAGCAGCCAUCCUUUAAAGAAAGCGUUCAUGCUCAAUGGUCGAGUAUUUAUUUAGGCAGAAAUUUGUGAAGCUUUAGUUAUAUACCGAAAUUAAAAAAUUGAUAAAAUUGGUAGUAGAACGAAUAAUAUUAAUUUAUUAGAAAAAUUGUUAAAUUUUUUAUUAAAUUUAUUUUGAGAAUGUUGACAUGAGUAACGAAUAAAUAAUGAGUUAAUUUUUAUUAUCAUUAUCACCGAAAAUCUAAAGGUUUCAACGUUAAGUUAUACUUCGUUGAGUUAAUCGGUCUCUAAGUUUUUUAUUGAAAAAUAAGAAUGA